GCCUGGAAAAUUCCAUGGAUGGAGGAGCCUGGUGGGCUACAGUCCAUGGGGUCGCAAAGAGUGACUUCACUUUCACUUUCAAAUUAAAUGUAUUUAAAGUAACUUCGAGCCUCAGCUUUGUAAAAUAGAGGAUCUGCUCUACAGAGCUGUUCAAGGUCUAAAUAGUGGCAAAUGAAUGUCCCUGAGACAGAGAACGUGGUCCUGGCUGCUUUUGUCUUCUUCCUUUUGUUUAUUUAGGCGAGGGGAACAGAGGAGCUUUUUUGGAUCCAUCUCGAUUCAGAUGCCUGGAGCAGGCUGGCCCGGGCCUGGAAGCUGGUGGGGGACAGGGUUUCCCAAGGGCUGGUUUGCCUUUGGGGCCUCGCCGAGCCAGACGUGUGGGGUCAUCUGUGACAAGCCUUUGGCCCCUGAGCAGCUGCCCUGCCUCCCCGCCCCUCCCCUGCCAGAAGGGGCCUGUCUCGGACAGCACUCCACCCCGGGGAGAGGGCCAGGCCCUCGAGACUGCAGCCUCCCGCGUGCAGAAUGAUUAAGCGGGUUUUAAGCGCUGCCCAAAGACUGACUCUAAUUUUACUUUCAUUUAUAUGGCACUCUGUCUCCAAAGAGCCAAACACCCAUUCAUUCAUUUUUUUUUUUUUUUUGAAGACUUAAGUUUUUUGAUUUUUCUGACGAGAAAAAGCAAAACAGAUUCAUGGUAGACCACUUAGAAAACACAGAGAAGUAUCCAUACAAUGAAGAAGAAAUUGCCCGUCCCUUUACCACCCAGCUAUACCAUUUUUAAAAAAGACUCCUUUUUAUUUUAGAGUAGAUUAAAAUUGCGCAAGGAGUACAGAGUUCCUCUCAAGCCACACCCAGUUUUCCUUGAUGUUAAUAUCCGGUAUUAGCGUGGUGCUUGGAUUACAACCAAUGAAUCUUAGUCUUUGCCCGAGACGUCUUUUCUGUUCCAGGAACGCGCUCAGGACCCCACAUUACAUUUUGCUGUCAUUUCUUGAGGCUCUGUUUGGCUGUGACCGAUUCUGAGAGCUGCCUGAUUUUGGAUGACCUGGCAGUUUUGAGGAGUGCUUGUAGAAUGUCCUUUAAACUUGAGUUAGUGUGAUGUUUUUCUCCUGAUCAGACAGCAGUUACAGGUUUUUAGGAGGUAGAAGUAAAGUGCCAGGGGACUUCCCUGGUGGUCCAAUGAGCUCCCAAUGCAUGGGGCCCAAGUUCGAUCCCUGGUUGGAGAACUAGACCCCCACAUGCUGCAACCAAGGCCUGGUGCAGCCAGAUAAAUAAACAUUAAAAAAGAAAAAAGAAGUAAAGCACCAUGCCUAUGAUAUCAUAUCAAAGAUACAUGCUACCCAGCGCAGUCAAAAAUAAAUAAUGAAAAUUAAAAAAAAGAAGGUGCCUGCUAUCCAUAUGAGUUAUCACUCUUUAUUCACCCGAUCAUCUAGCUGAGGCAGUGUUAAUCACAUUUCUACAGUAUGAAAGUGAAAGUCAGUUGCUCAACAGAGUCCGACUCUGUGACCCUAGGGACUGUAGCCCGCCAGGCUCCCCUGUCCAUGGGAUUCUCCUGGCAAGAAUACUGGAGUGGGUUGCCACCCCCUUCUCCAGGGGAUCUUCCUAACCCAGGGAUUGAACCCACGUCUCCCACAUUGCAGGUGGAUUCUUUACUUUCAGAGCCAUCAGGGAAGACUUCUCUGCUGUCAAGUGUCUUCUUGGCUCAUGACAGUCAUGACAGAAUCCUCAAACCAUUGUUCAUACACAACCUCAAAAUUGCAGUACUUCCUGGACCCACCUCCAGAUCUUGUUUAAUGCAUUAACAAAUAAACACAUAUAUUACCAUGGCACAAAUCUGUUUUUCAGUCUUUUGAUAACUGCUAUGUCCUAGUGAGAGUCCUAGGUCCUCCAGUUUCUACUGUGGUUUGACGUCUGUGUUCACUGCAGAAAGAAACGCUGCACUUUGGCUGGCAUUACUAAAUGCUUAGUGAACAUUUUUUCCCCUCACUCCAAGUUCACAGAUGGCUGAGUUCCUAACAAGGACCCCAGCUUAAGAAGGAGCUGGUGGAUGCCGGGGAGAUCCAGCUCUUCCAACAUGUGAUUGGAGUCUGUCCCCAGGAGGUCGACGGGGUGGAGAGAGAGGAGGAGCCCUGUGUUCCGCGGGUAUCGACCCCAGCCCAGGCGCACCAUGGGGCCUUGGGAGCCUCAACCUGGCUUUCCCGAUCGCGCUGUUCUAGAGGUUUCAGAGAAGCCGCUGGCAGCUCCCUGCGGAGACUUUGCCCUCACUGAUGAAUGGCUGCUGCAGCGCGUCUAUUGACCGGGCCCUUUGUUUUCGAGAAGCAACCUGCCUUUCUUCUGUUAACCCCUGCUGGCCUGGCUCUGAACAGGAUGCCUUCUGUGCUCCGGACCCGGCACCAGGGCAAGAGAGGGUAGGAGCAAGACUUCAGACCCCGGGUCUGCCCGAACUUCAAAUGCUGUGCUCUCUCUGGGGUUCCAGAAGCUUUUAGCCAUGCUUCGCCACGCGGGACUUGGUGGUGCCCGCGCUUGGUCCGAAGCUGGAAAGUGAAAGUAGCUCAUCUGUUCCUGUUCCCAGCGCCCUGGAAAUUCUGGGCGGGGUGCGACCUCACAGGCCUACUGCUCCCCGCAGGACUGGUCAUCGGGGCCCCGCCCCAAGGAGGGGCCAGCCCCCCAUCCACCCUGGUCCUGGGCGUGUGGGAGCCCCGCCCCGCUCUGCCCCGCCCCGCCCGCUGUGGGAGUCCCAGAUGCCUGUCUUGUAGGAAAUCUUCCUGCUGUCCAGGAAGUCCCAUCUGGAUGGGCAGGGUUGUACGAAGACCUCUCCAAGCAGAGCCCGGUGGACAAUGAGCGCUCAGGCCUGCUCGCCAACCACAGGAAGCUGGGCGGAGCUCUGCCUGGAGGGCGUGGGCCAUCCCGGGGCGUGGGCCCCGAGGAGGUGUGAAGUCCCACGUUCAGAUCCCUCCACUGUUCUCUUUACUGCUUCCUCCUCCUUAACAAGAGGGCCCGGCCCUUCCUCCACGAGCUUUAGGAUUCCAAACCGAGAAGGAAAUGGGGGCAGAAGGGCCAAAUGAGGGCGUGGAGCAGGUACCCGCCUCUAGUAAGAGCCUUUCUGCGCCUCCGCCCACCCAGGACUGGGGAGGCACCGGAAGCUGGCUGGCGGGGGAUGGAGGGUGAGGUGAAUACUUCUGCUGGGUGAUUAAAGGAAAAAAAAACCAGUUUGUUGACCUAGUGUGUCCGAUUGAUGAAUUUUAAGCACAGAGCCUUGAUGAAUGUUUGCAUACGAAUAAGUUUGUGUAACCACCACUCAGAUCCAGAUAUAGAAGGUACAGAGCCCAGAAGACUCUCUCCCUGGUAGCCUUUGCACCCCACCCGCGGGACACCACUAUUCUGACUGUAGAUUAGUUUCCUCCUUGAAGGUCCAUCAGUGGGCUUUCUGGAUGGCUCAGUGGUAAAGAAUUCACCUGCCAAUGCAGGAGAUGCAGGUUUGAGCUCUGGGUCAGGAAAAGGGCAUGACGACCCACUCCAGCGUUCUUGCCUGAAAAUUCCUUAGGCAGAGGGGCCUAGUGGACAUGGAGCCCCAAAGAGUCAGCCAUGACUGACCACGCACACACAUCACAUAAAGGGAAUCAUAGGGGACAUACACUUUUACCUCUGGCUUCUUUCGACACUUGUUGUUACAUCUGAGAGAUUCUCCCACUGGAUUCUGCAGGAAACAGGGCAAACCCUCCUCAGUCUCUUCCUUAUAUGCCCCUGAACUUGGCCCCAAAAUUCAU